rnacentral:rRNA from 1 species
CAGGUCACUCCUACGGGAGGCAGCAGUCGAGGAUCUUCGGCAAUGGGCGCAAGCCUGACCGAGCGACGCCGCGUGUGCGAUGAAGCCCUUCGGGGUGUAAAGCUCUUUCGUCAGGGACGAUAAUGACGGUACCUGGAGAAGCAGCUGCGGCUAACUACGUGCCAGCAGCCGCGGUAAUACGUAGGCAGCAAGCGUUGUUCGGAGUUACUGGGCGUAAAGGGUGUGUAGGCGGUUCUUUAAGUUUGGUGUGAAAUCUCCCGGCUCAACUGGGAGGGUGCGCCGAAUACUGAGGGACUAGAGUACGGGAGAGGAAAGUGGAAUUCCUGGUGUAGCGGUGAAAUGCGUAGAUAUCAGGAGGAACACCGGUGGUGUAGACGGCUUUCUGGACCGACACUGACGCUGAGACACGAAAGCGUGGGUAGCAAACAGGAUUAGAUACCCCGGUAGUCCACGCCGUAAACGAUGGGCACUUGGUGUGUCGGGUCUUACAGUCCCGACGUGCCGGAGCUAACGCGUUAAGUGUCCCGCCUGGGGAGUACGGUCGCAAGGCUGAAACUUAAAGGAAUUGACG